rnacentral:tRNA from 1 species
GGGCGCUUAGCUCAGUUGGUAGAGCAGCUGACUCUUAAUCAGCGGGUCGUAGGUUCGAUUCCUACAGCGCCCA